rnacentral:rRNA from 1 species
GAUGAACGCUGGCGGCGUGCCUAACACAUGCAAGUCGAGCGGGAUUUUCCGGAUUGAAGCUUCGGUAGAUUGAAGGAAAUGAGAGCGGCGGACGGGUGAGUAACGCGUAGGCAACCUGCCCUUUGCAGAGGGAUAGCCAUUGGAAACGAUGAUUAAAACCUCAUAAUGCCACGAAGUGACAUCGCUUUGUGGCCAAAGAUUUAUCGGCAAAGGAUGGGCCUGCGUCUGAUUAGCUGGUUGGUGAGGUAACGGCUCACCAAGGCGACGAUCAGUAGCCGGACUGAGAGGUUGAACGGCCACAUUGGGACUGAGAUACGGCCCAG